GCAGGGUCUUGAACGCUGAGCCAGUGGACCGUUAGUGGUCCUACUUAGUCAUUGGUCAGCGCCGCGCUGGACCCGCCCACAAGCAACCGUCAAAGAGCCGCCAGUUAGCGAGUGCGUUGAGUCAACGGUGGGCCUGCGCAAAGUGGCGGUCUUCAUACAGAGAGCAAGGCAGAGAAGAAGGUUCAAAGGCCCAGAACUAGCAUGUGUGGCUGGAGUGUAACCUCUCUGGGGUACAAACAGGGCAAGAGAUGUGACAGAGAAGCCGACCAGGUCACAGAGUGCCCUCCUCACAGUCCAAAGGACAAUGCGCAGAGAUCCCAAGGCCUUUCUUAUAAGCCCUCUGGUAGAGGUUAUCCGAUUAUUGACAAAGUCUUCACAGCUCAUGAAAACUCCAAACAGCGUUAAAGACAAGAGGAAGAAAAUUCUUUAAUACGGUAUGUUCAAACCUCAGUGGAUUAGCUUGCUCCAGAUUUUCCAAACAGUUUCAGUUUGGAACAGUUUUUUUUUCAAUUGUUUAUUUGAACACUUAUUGCAGUUUUUUCAAUUUUUCAGUGUAUAAUAAAAGGCUUGCUCAGUGGUUAAUUUAGACAAGAAAGUGCUCAGGUUGAAGCAGGUAAACCUGUUUUAUAAAUGUGAAUUUGUAUGUAUCUGUUUUUACUGUUGGGUAAGAACAUGGAUUCUGGAGUCAAACUGCUUGUCUUCCAAAUAGGUUCUGCAGGAGAUGUUGUGCAAUAACUGAAUUUCUUUUGUUUCAGUUUCCUUGUCUGUGUAAACAUGGACGCUAAUGUGAACUAAAGUUGUAAGGAUUAAAUUAAUUAACGCAUUUAAAGAAUUUAGAAAUGCUCGGUUUAUAGGGUAUGGCUGAUAUAUAUUAGCCUCUAUUACAGGUGUAUGUGUGUGUAUAUGUAUGUUUAUAGACUAUGUUCAAGAAAUGGCAAUCUGCUCCAAUAUUCUUGGCUGGGAAAUCCCAUGGACAGAGGAGCCUGGUGGGCUACCAUUCAUGGGGUCGUCGAAG
rnacentral:lncRNA from 1 species